UACAGAGACUGCAAGCGUUAUUCGGAUUCACUGGGCGUAAAGGGUGCGCAGGCGGCCGUGUGUGUAAGGUGUGAAAUCCCGGGGCUCAACCCCGGAACUGCGCCUUAAACUACAUGGCUAGAGUACUGGAGAGGGUAGCGGAAUUCACGGUGUAGCAGUGAAAUGCGUAGAUAUCAGGAGGAACACCGGUGGCGAAGGCGGGUCUCUGGGCCGAUACUGACGCUGAGGAGCGAAAGCGUGGGGAGCGAACAGG
rnacentral:rRNA from 1 species